GCAGCAGGCCAGACGAUCGCCGCGCUGAAGCGCCCGCAAGGGCGCGACGGCGGGGAGGAAAGUCCGAACUCCGCAGGGCAGUGCGCCGGCUAACUCCCGGUCAGGGCAACCUGAAGGAUUAGUGGCACAGAAAAAAUACCGCCCCGGCAAGUGGGGCAGCUGCAGGUAAGUGGGACAGUCACACUUUUCGCUGAGACGCCGGAGAAAAGUGUGACUGUCCCACUUACCUGUGUGACUGUCCCACUUGUCGAGGUAAGGGUGAAAAGGUGCGGUAAGAGCGCACCGCGUCUCCGGUAACGGGGACGGCAGGCAAAACCCCGCACGGAGCAAGACCAAAUAGGGAGGCGCUACAGGACGGCCCGUCCGAAGCCUCCGGGUAGGUCGCACGAGCGCGCCAGCGAUGGCGCGCCUAGAGGAAUGAUCGUCGCGCCGAAGCCCGCCGAAGCGCCUCCGAAAGGAGGCGCAGGGGCGGGUGGAGGCGGACAAAAUUCGGCUUACGGCCUGCUGCGGCG
rnacentral:RNase_P_RNA from 1 species